rnacentral:rRNA from 1 species
AAGACCUUUACCCGACUUAGCUGAGAGGUGGUGCAUGGCGUCGUCAGUUCGUACUGUGAAGCAUCCUGUUAAGUCAGGCAACGAGCGAGACCCACGUCCACAGUUGCCAGCAUACCCUCCGGGGUGGAUGGGUACACUGUGGAGACCGCCGCUGCUAAAGCGGAGGAAGGAGUGGGCAACGGUAGGUCAGUAUGCCCCGAAUCUCCCGGGCUACACGCGGGCUACAAUGGUUGGUACAAUGGGCAUCUACCCCGAAAGGGGAAGGAAAUCUCUUAAAGCCAAUCGUAGUUCGGAUUGAGGGCUGCAACUCGCCCUCAUGAAGCUGGAAUCCGUAGUAAUCGCGUUUCAACAGAACGCGGUGAAUACGUCCCUGCUCCUU